AUCGUUGCAAAAAAAAGCUGCCGAUGCGAGCCACACAGAGGAGCCGCCGGUUUCAUCGACUACCACUGCAGGCGCACAGAGGAGACGUGGGCGAUCUUCCGGCGCGGGUGGAGAUUAGGCCAGGUUCACGAGGGAUUCCGGCGAGGUGGGAAUCGACUCGAGGCGAGGCGUCCAGCCCGGAUCGACCCGACGCGACGUGCGCGAAGGUUAUUGGAAUUUUGGUAUUGUUAGACCUUAAGCGUGAAAUAAAGGGAGACAAAUCUCUGAUGGCUAUUGUAGUCUUGUUCUCAAUGCCAUAGCAGAUUGACUAUAUAUGCAUAUGCGGGGAGACAGCUAGCGGACUAUAGACCUUCCUCUCUAUCGGCUGGAGCUUCAGGAGCAGAAGACAGUGCUGCUUCCAGCCUCACCUCUUUCCGCUGGUGUUUGUUUUAUAAUUGCCCCACCCUGCUACCCAGGUAUCCAGCAAAUCAUUAUCAUUAGUACUGGUUAUUGCUGACUAGACAGCUUUCAGAAUUUGAAUUGUAGGGGUCACAUUACAGAGCAAGUAGCAGAAGCAAUAGUCGCUUACAUCUCUCAGUUGCGUUCUUUCCUCGGAGAAUUGACGGUUCCAAUUCCAAUGAACAGAUAGCUCCACAAUUGAUAUUAUGAGCAAUAGUAGAUAUCUUAAUUGUGGCAAUAUUUCUUGCUGUGGAUUUAUUUUAUUAGAGUUUAAAGUUUAAACCAACUUGCUUGGUUGAGGCUUACAUUGCCUUUUUACCAUUUUUCUUCGUUCUCGGCAAUAUCAGUGCACAGUUGACAGUUAUGCACUGCCUUUUCUUUCUUAUAUAUACAUGUGGCAAUAAGGGGUUCAUGCAGGUGCACAGGGUCAAGGGCUCACACCUUCAUGGCGACCUACCUGCAUGUAGGUGAACCAUACAUCCUCUCUUUUCUCAUUGGUGUUUAAUCUGCCGUCCUAAUGUAAUGCUCUGAAAUUGUACCAUGUUGUGCAAGUUUAACAUUUAGUAGAAUGAAGUACUAUACAAAUAAACACACAUACAUGAUUAGUACUUAUGGCUUGUCCUUCUACCCAUAUUUACUUAUAUAAAAUACCAAAAUUCAAAUAGACAUGCACGAAUAUUACCUAUGACUUAUCAUUUGUCCAUGACUACCCCGUGCGUGGCUGUGUACAUGGUUCCAAUGUUGCUAUUUAUCAUGUAAGUAUGGUACUGUGUAUAUUGUUGGCUAACAAUUGUUUUUGAUAUACGAUUAGUAGAGAUUGACUUGGUGGCCUGCUGAAUUUCCAAAAAGGACGUCCUACUCACCACUCUGAAGAUAUUUUAAAAUUUUAGACAGGUUAACUUGUUUUCCACCUAUUUUGUCCUAUAACUUCAAUUUUCCAUAACAUGGAUCGAUAUGACAUGCCCAAGUCUCAUGAAAUUUAAUUGUAGUUGAGACGUUUUCACUUUCACUAUCUAAUAUAAAUCAGUAAACUCCAUGUUUCAUUCCUCCAUAUUGCUAUAUAAUUUCCUACUAUUAUAUGGGAAAAAUGGACAGGCGCGACAUUGCGUGAGCCGACCGAUUUAAUGUUUUGGUUGUUGCUGGUCGUCGGAUGCAUAUAUCUAAGCAAAACUGUCUCUGCUACCUGGCAUUAACAUCCUACGGGCGGCUAUUCCGGUAGCAUUUUUGGAGGGUUUUGAUUAGUUGGCCUACAUGGGCUGUUCUAUGUACAAAGCCCAGCCGUGGAAGCAACUUAUGUGAGCAGCCACACAACUGAAUAACAACCAAGUAGGAGUGCAAGGAAGAUAAUAGAGGUUUUGGUCUGCCGAGAGGUCAUGCAAUACUUCUCUAUUCCCAUUUCAGGUUACAACAAUUAGUCCACUGAUUGAAGGCUAGCUGUUGCUUCUUGAUCAACCCUAUUAGCUUUUAGAUGUGCUUUCAAGUAUGUUCAUUGUAGUCCGGUGCUGUUGUUUAAGUUAAAGUGAGAGCUAUUACGAUCAGUUUGUUUUUUGACCUGUUCAUUUGAAAGUAGCCAAAGGUACAAAUGGAUAUGUAGAUUGUAUACACAAUUUAUAUGAAACAACUUUUGUCA